rnacentral:rRNA from 1 species
UGGGGAAUAUUGGACAAUGGGCGAAAGCCUGAUCCAGCAAUGCCGCGUGAGUGAUGAAGGCCCUAGGGUUGUAAAGUCCUUUCGGCGGGGAAGAUAAUGACGGUACCCGCAGAAGAAGCCCCGGCUAACUUCGUGCCAGCAGCCGCGGUAAUACGAAGGGGGCUAGCGUUGCUCGGAAUCACUGGGCGUAAAGCGCACGUAGGCGGACUCUUAAGUCGGUGGUGAAAUCCUGGAGCUCAACUCCAGAACUGCCUUCGAUACUGAGAGUCUCGAGUCCGGGAGAGGUGAGUGGAACUGCGAGUGUAGAGGUGAAAUUCGUAGAUAUUCGCAAGAACACCAGUGGCGAAGGCGGCUCACUGGCCCGGUACUGACGCUGAGGUGCGAAAGCGUGGGGAGCAAACA